rnacentral:rRNA from 1 species
AUUGAACGCUGGCGGCAGGCCUAACACAUGCCAGUCGAACGGUAACAGGAAGAAGCUUGCUUCUUUGCUGACGAGUGGCGGACGGGUGAGUAAUGUCUGGGAAACUGCCUGAUGGAGGGGGAUAACUACUGGAAACGGUAGCUAAUACCGCAUAACGUCGCAAGACCAAAGAGGGGGACCUUCGGGCCUCUUGCCAUCGGAUGUGCCCAGAUGGGAUUAGCUAGUAGGUGGGGUAACGGCUCACCUAGGCGACGAUCCCUAGCCGGUCUGAGAGGAUGACCAGCCACACUGGAACUGAGACACGGUCCAGACUCCUACGGGAGGCAGCAGUGGGGAAUAUUGCACAAUGGGCGCAAGCCUGAUGCAGCCAUGCCGCGUGUAUGAAGAAGGCCUUCGGGUUGUAAAGUACUUUCAGCGGGGAGGAAGGGAGUAAAGUUAAUACCUUUGCUCAUUGACGUUACCCGCAGAAGAAGCACCGGCUAACUCCGUG